rnacentral:rRNA from 1 species
UGCCGGUGGUCAAACCGGAGGAAGGUGGGGAUGACGUCAAGUCCUCAUGGCCUUUAUGGCCAGGGCUACACACGUACUACAAUGGCCGGUACAAAGGGCAGCGACAUUGCGAGAUGGAGCGAAUCCCGAAAAGCCGGUCUCAGUCCGGAUUGGAGUCUGCAACUCGACUCCAUGAAGUUGGAAUCGCUAGUAAUCGUGGAUCAGCAUGCCACGGUGAAUACGUUCCCGGGCCUU